GUGUCAGCAGCCGCGGUAAUACGUAGGUGGCAAGCGUUGUCCGGAUUUAUUGGGCGUAAAGGAUGUGUAGGCGGAUAUUUAAGUGAGAUGUGAAAUCCCCGGGCUUAACUUGGGGGGUGCAUUGCAAACUGGGUGUCUAGAGUGCAGGAGAGGAAAGCAGAAUUCCUAGUGUAGCGGUGAAAUGCGUAGAGAUUUGGAAGAAUACCAGUGGCGAAGGCGUCUUUCUGGACUGUAACUGACGCUGAGGCAUGAAAGCAUGGGG
rnacentral:rRNA from 1 species